rnacentral:rRNA from 1 species
AGCGGCGGACGGGUGAGCAAUGCCUGGGAAUAUGCCCUGAUGUGGGGGAUAACUAUUGGAAACGAUAGCUAAUACCGCAUAAUCUCUUCGGAGCAAAGAGGGGGACCUUCGGGCCUCUCGCGUCAGGAUUAGCCCAGGUGGGAUUAGCUUGUUGGUGAGGUAAUGGCUCACCAAGGCUACGAUCCCUAGCUGGUCUGAGAGGAUGAUCAGCCACACUGGAACUGAGACACGGUCCAGACUCCUACGGGAGGCAGCAGUGGGGAAUAUUGCACAAUGGGGGAAACCCUGAUGCAGCCAUGCCGCGUGUGUGAAGAAGGCCUUCGGGUUGUAAAGCACUUUCAGUAGGGAGGAAGGUAGUGUAGUUAACACCUGCACUAUUUGACGUUACCUACAGAAGAAGCACCGGCUAACUCCGUGCCAGCAGCCGCGGUAAUACGGAGGGUGCGAGCGUUAAUCGGAAUUACUGGGCGUAAAGCGCAUGCAGGCGGCCUGUUAAGUCAGAUGUGAAAGCCCGGGGCUUAACCUCGGAAUUGCAUUUGAAACUGGCAGG